UGGAGAUUCUUGUCAAGGCUUCUAUUCGCUGGCUUAAGUUUUAACCACAAUCCUUCAAGAUCUCAACAGACAACAGCGUGUGGCAUCCAUCUUACCAUGUAGUACCUCGUUUAUCUGAUGUUUCGAGCUAGAGUACCAAUCGUCUCAAGUCCUGGUUAUACUUAGCAAGAGUUACUGCUAGAUCACUACUUCUUCUUCUUCGAUUGUCAGUCAAGUUUACUGAUAGAGCAAAAGUUACUGCUAGACCAAGCCGUUACUAUUUCUUUCAUUACGAUUGUCAGUGAAGUUUACUGACAGAGCGAAAGUUACUGCUAGACCAAGCCGUUACUAUUUCUUUCAUUACGAUUGUCAGUGAAGUUUACUGACAGAGCAAAAGUUACUGCUAGACCAAGCUGUCACUGUUUCCUCCACUACACCAAUCAGUCAAGUUUCCUGACAGAGCAGUUACUAUUACACCAAACCGUCCCUAACUACUUCCACUAAGAGUAACAGUCAAAUACAGUGGCAACAUGUUAUCAUCAACAUAUAUAUCGAAUAUAUCGAAUGUGCAGCAUAUUUUCUCUUUACUCAAUACACCAUUGAGUUGGAACUUUAAUCAUUUAACCAGUGAAGCAUAGCGCCCUAUUUAGCAAAGGUCGGCGUCAUUAUUGGAUAGUAGCUUAAAAAUUGCAAUGCCUUCUAGUAUGCAAGGAAGCGAAUUUCUUGAAUAAAUCUUCAUGAGCAAACUGAACCCUGAGGAACAUAAAGCACACAAGGCAUCCAUUGUUUACAAAACAUUUGUCAAUAAAAUCAAUAUGUAAUUUGACAACGGUAGAGGAAAUCUUAGAGUAGCAGAAGAAGUGGACUGGCAGUACUUUUCUAAGGUGUAAUAACCAACCCGCUUUCUUGAUGACCCUGAUUGAAAGACGGAUCGCUACAUACUGAUCGAUUUAAAGUGCAUCUGAACUCUGAAUUUCAGCCUGAGGAACCUAAAGAGAAUGAGUAUUAUGAAGCUUUAAUUUCAGUUAAAAUAAAUAAAUAAAAAUAAAUAUAAUCUACAUUAUUUAAUUAUGUUAUAAAAAAUGUAGUAAAUUGUAAAACCUAGGAGUUAGAUAUGUGUUUUAAAUUUGUGAACUGUGUUUUAUCUAGAUAGUUUCUCAAAUUACGUUUUUACUUUUUUAAUAUUACAUUUUAAAAGAAUAACUAAUUUCCGUCUCGAUUCAUCUUACUGAAACUAAUUUGGUAUACAUGAAUCAAAACUAACGUGUCCGUAAACUUAUUUCGAGCGGUGAAUUUCUUCGAAUGUCUAAACAUGAAGUAUUCACCCAACUCGCAAUGGCUGCUAGCUGUACUUUGCUUUUAAAAACCUAUUCUAUUGUUUUAUAAUUUUGGAGAAUGGGUUAAUUUAAUAUUUAGUAUUAAUACAUUUUCCGUUUUUUAAAAUAUUACUAAAAAGGCAAAUAUUUUACUAAACAGCUUUGUUCUAAUGUAAAGUCAAUUAUUUUUAUUUUGCACAAAAACUAAUUUUCAGAAAGCUUGCUGUUUUUUUGUGAAUGAAAAUUGGGUGUGAUAGAUAGUACGCUUGCUAAUAUUUUGCUUCGAUUUUUUACAUAUUUUCUCUAUUUAUUCAUGUGAGAUAUCACAUGUCAAUUACGCAGCCAAUAAAUAAAUAAACAAGUAUUUUUUAAAAUUAAUAUACAUAUAUAUAUAUAUUUAUAUACGGUAUAAAUGUUCAGAACGUAGGUUUUGAUGACCUUAUUGGAAAUAAGCAUUUACAUUAUUUUGUAGCCGUCACGAUUAAAAAACAAGGGGUAAAAUUUUAAAUUCAAUAUUUUCUUGAAACCGUUUUAUUUGAACAUACAAAUUAACAUCUAGUUUACAAAUAAAAAUUACCUAACUUUUAGCUUUAUCUACUCCGUGUUUAGAGUCACCACGUGAUACGUGUUAUUUUAAUGGACGCAUAAUUUGAAAAGAUACUUUUGCUUUGAAUGUUUUUUUUUAUAUUCUCUUCAUGUGAGGUAUCACGUGUAAAGCAGGCAGCAUGUUUAUUUUAUUGAAUCAGUUUGUCUUCUAACAUUAUAUAUACAGUAUAUGUGUAAAGAAUGCACCUACUGAUUCGCUGUAGUAAGCUUUUAUUUAAAUUUUAACAACUAAUGUUACUUUAUUUUUUAAUAUUCUCUUCAUGUGAGGUAUCACAUGUCAACUAGCAGGCAGUAAAUAAAUAAACAAGUAUUUUUUUAUUAAUAUAUCUAUUUAUAUACGGUAUAAAUAUUCAGAAUGUAGAUUUUGAUGAUCCUAUUUGAAAUAAACACUUACAUUAUAUUGUAGCCAUCAACCUAGACUUAUUUUUCGUGCGUCACGAUUAAAAAACAAGGGGUAACAUUUUAAAUUCAAUACUUUCUUGAAACCGUUUUAUUUGAACAUACAAAUUAACAUCUAGUUUACAAAAAAAAAUUACAUAAUUUUUAGCUUUAUCUACUCCGUGCUUAGAGUCACCACAUCAUAUGUGUAUAUUGAAUGGGCGCAUAAUAUGAAUAAUUACUUUUGCUUUGAAUGUUUUUUUUUUUAAUAUUCUCUUCAUGUGAGGUAUCACAUGUCAGUUACGCGGUAAGCUAAUAACUAUUUUGUAUCAAUAUAUCUAUUUAUAUACGCUAUAAAUGUUCAGAAUGUAGUUUUUGGUGACCUCAUUGGAAAUAUGCAUGUACAUUAUAUUGUUGCAAUCAACUUUGAUUGAUUUAUUCGUGCGUCAAUAUUAAAAAACAAGGAGUAACAUAUUAAAUUCAAUAUUUUAUUGAAACCGUUUUAUUAAAACAUACAAAUUAACAUCUAGUUUACAAAUAAAAAUGAAAUAUU